rnacentral:rRNA from 1 species
ACUAAAGCUGUUGCGGUUAAAAAGCUCGUAGUUGGAUUUCGGGAUUUUUGGAGACUCGGUCUGCGCUAUGUCGUACGUACUAGUUUCCUGAUCCCUUUCUUCUGGAUGCUCGUCACUGUUAUUAAUUUAACGGUGAUAAAAACUCGGGAGGAAUUGGAUUUUAGGAUCUAAUCCUUUCGAGAGAGUUCCAGAUAUAUUACUUUGAAAAAAUUAGAGUGUUCAAAGCAGGCGGUUCAAGCCUUGAAUACUAAAGCAUGGGAUAAUGCUAUAGGACUCUGUACCUAUUUCGUUGGUUUCCGGGAACGGAGUAAAGAUUAAUAGGGAUAGUUGGGGUGAUUUAUAUUUAAUUGUCAGAGGUGAAAUUCUUGGAUUUCUGAAAGAUAAACUUCUGCGAAGGCAUUUCACAAGGAUGUUUUCAUUAAUCAAGAACGGAAGUUGGGGGAUCGAAGACGAUCAGAUACCGUCAUAGUCUCAACCAUAAACCAUGCCGACCAGGGAUCGGAUGACGUUAAGUUCUUAUGACUCCUCCGGCACCUUGUGAGAAAUCACAAGUUUUUGGGCUUCGGGGGGAGUAUGGUCGCAAGGCUGAAACUUAAAGGAAUUGACGGAAGGGCACCACCAGGAGUGGAGCCUGCGGCUUAAUUUGACCCAACACGGGAAAACUUACCAGGUCCGGACAGUAGAAGGAUUGACAGAUUGAGAGCUCUUUCUUGAUUUACUGGGUGGUGGUGCAUGGCCGUUCUUAGUUGGUGGAGUGAUUUGUCUGCUUUAUUGCGAUAACGAACGAGACCUUUACCUGCUAAAUAGUUAUGCUAGGUUGCUUACUCGAUUAACUCUGGGCAACUGGAGCUAAUUGAGGCAAUCCUAAGUAGUUAACUUCUUAGAGGGACUAUUGGUGCGAGCCAAUGGAAGUUUGAGGCAAUAACAGGUCUGUGAUGCCCUUCGAUGUCCUGGGCUGCACGCGCGCUACACUGAUGAACUCAACGAGUAUUUUCACCUUGGCCGAGAGGUCUGGGUAAUCUUAUAAAAGUUCAUCGUGCUGGGGAUAGAUCAUUGUAAUUAUUGAUCUUAAACGAGGAAUUCCUAGUAAGCGUGAGUCAUCAGCUCGCGUUGAUUACGUCCCUGCCCUUUGUACACACCGCCCGUCGCUCCUACCGAUUGGAUGAUCCGGUGAAGACAUCGGAUAUUUAAGACUAAGAAUUUGGGUAACUGAAUUCUUUUCAUUGAAUAGAAGUUGUCUAAACCUUAUUAUCUAGAGGAAGGAGAAGUC